AAAUGAAAAAUGCUGACGCUGCUUCUGUUGGCAUUGCUUUAUAAUUACGGCCAUCAAUAAAUCAUUUUAUCCUUGAACAAGACUUGAGAUUGGCCCGAAGGCAGAGGCAUGAUUCGUUAGGAAUUAGGCCAACAGAGAAUGGGUUCUCUCUCUUCCCACCUCUUCUCUUACUCUGCUGUCAGAAACAGAAAGGUUCUCUGUGAGUAGCUGGGAGCAGACGGCCGCACUUGAGUUCCAUCAGGGGGUUCUGUUGAUACAGUUUUACCCCAGCCUGCCUUGAUGGCCACUGCCACACAAGCUGCACCUGUUCUUUCUUCUGCACCUUUUGUUACUUCAUUGUUUUUCCUCUUUCUAGUGUAGUGAGCUGAAUGGUGACUUUGCACAAGAUAUAUCCAGAUCCUUGUGCCUAGAAUCCGUGGAGGUGGCAUUAUUUGGAAAAAGGGUCUUUGCAGAUGUAAUUAAGUUAAGGAUCUUGAGAUGAGAUUAUCCUGGAGUAUUUUAGGUAGGCUGUACAUCUAAUGACAAGUGUCCUUAUAAGAGGACACUUUCAUCGGGUCACAGUGGCUCAUGCCUGUAAUCCCAGCACUUUGGUAGGCCGAGGCGGGUGGAUCAUCUGAGGUCAGGACUUUGAGACCAGCCUGACCAACAUGGAGAAACCCAAUCUCUACUAAAAAUACAAAAUUAGCCGGGCAUGGUGGCGCGUGCCUGCAAUCCCAGCUACUGGGGAGGCUGAGGCAGGAGAGUUGCUUGAACCCAGGAGGAGGAGGUGGCAGUGAGCUGAGAUCAUGCCAUUGCACUCCAGCCUGGGCAACAAGAGUGAAACUCCAUCUCAAAAAAAAAAAAAAAAAAGAAGGACACUCUUUUUCACGUGCAUCCGUGUGAAGAGACCACCAAACAGGCUUUGUGUGAGCAAUAAAGCUGUGUAUUUCACCUGGGUGCAGGCAGGCUGAGCCCAAAAAGAGUCAGCGAAGGGAGAUGGGGUGGGGCUGUUUUAUAGGAUUUGCGUAGGCAAAGGAAAAAGGGGUUGUUCUCUGGCAGGCAGGAGUGGGGGUCACAAGGUACUCAGUAGGGGAGCUUUUGAGCCAGGAUGAGCCAGGAUAAGGAAUUUCACAAGAUAAUGUCAUCAGUUAAGGCAGGAACACGCCAUUUUCAUUUAUUUUGUGGUAGAAUGUCAUCAGUUAAGGCAGGAACCGGUCAUCUGGAUGUGUACGUGCAGGUCACAAGGGAUAUGAUGGCUUAGCUUGGUCUCAGAGGCUUGACGUUCCUGUCUUCUUAUAUUAAUAAGAAAAAUAAAACGAAAUAGUGGUAAAGUGUUGGGACGGCGAAAAUUUUUGGGGAUAGUAUAGAGAGAGAAUGGGCGAUGUUUCUCAGGGCUGCUUUCAGCAGGAUUAGGGGCAGCAUGGGAACCUAGAGUGAGAGAGAUUAAGCUGAAGGAAGAUUUUGUGGUAAGGGGUGAUAUUGUUGGGUUGUUAGAAGAAAUAUUUGUCAUUUAGAAUAAUUGGUGAUGGCUUGGAUACAGUUUUGUAUGAAUUGAAAAACUAAACAGAAUAAGAGAAGGAGAAAAACAGGUAUUAAAGGACUAAGAAUUGGGAGGACCUAGGACAUCUAAUUAGAGAGUGCCUAAGGAGGUUCAGCAUAGCCUUGCCAGCAAAGAUUAUGUAUUUAAGAGUUAAGAGUGGAGGUUUGGGGAUAGCAACAGUAGAUAUCAGCUGUGAUGGCUUGAAGAAACAGUGUAAACCAGCAGUGUAAACAAGAGCAGGACAUGUAUGAGUUGUUGAGAACGAUGAAUAGGAGUAUGACUAGAUAGAAGAUAGUAGGGAUGACAAGUUUUUUGGGCCACAGUCCAAGUUGGUCUGGUGUCUGCAAUGAGAGUGGGGCCUAAUAAAAAGGAGCGUCUAUACAGGAGCUCAAAUGUGCUGUACCUUGUAGCAUUCCAAGGACAGGCCUGACUUCUGAGAAGGGAAAGUGGUAAAAGUAUUGUCCAGUCCUUUUUUAGUUGGUGGCUGAGCUUGGUGAGGUGUGUUUUUAAAAGACCAUUAGUCUGUUCUACCUUUCCUGAAGACUGAGGACUGUAAAGGAUAUAAAGGUUUCACUGAAUACUAAGAGCCUGAAACAAUGUUUGGCUGAUUUGACUAAUAAAGGCGAGUCUACUAUUGGACUGUAUAGAGGUGGGAAGGCCAAACUGAGGAAUUAUGUCUGACAGAAGGGAAGAAAUGACCGUGGUGGCCUUCUUAGACCCUGUGGGAAAGGACUCUACCUAUCCAGUGAAAGUGUCUACCUAGACCAGAAGGUAUUUUAGUUUCCUGAAUCGGGGCACGUUGAGUAAAGCUAAUAUGUCAGUCCUGGGUGGGGGCAAAUCCCUGAGCUUGAUGUGUAGGGAAGGGAGGGGGCCUGAAUAAUCCCUGAGGAGUAGUAGAAUAGCAGAUGGAACACUGAGAAGUUAUUUCUUUGAGGAUAGAUUUCCACAAUGGAAAGGAAAUAAGAGUUUCUAAGAGGCGGGCUAGUGGCUUGUACUAUAGCAUAGCUUGCCUUUGCUGGUGUGUGGCGAGUAGGCCUGGUGGAACUGCCAUCAAUAAACUAAGUGUGAUCAGGGUGAGAAACAGGGUAGAAGGAAAUGUGGGGAAAUGGCAAGAAUGUCAGCUGGAUCAGAGAGAUACAGUCAUGAGGGUCAGGUGUGGUAUCAGGAAUAAUGUGGGAGGCCAGAUUGAAGUCCGGGCCAGGAACAAUGGUACUUAUGGGAGACUUAACAAAGAGUGAGUACAGCUGAAGGAGCCGGGGAGCAGAAAGUAUAUGCAUUAGGUGUGAGGAAGAAAAUAGAUUUUGGAAAUUAUGAGAACUGUAGAGAGUGAAUUGAGCAUGGUUUGUGAUUUUAAGGGCCUCUAAAAGUAUUAGGGCAGCAGCAGCCACUGCACGGAGACAUAAUGGCCAGCCUAAAACAGUAAGGUCAAGUUGUUUGGACAAAAAGGUUACAGGAGGCAAUCGUGGUCCUUGUGUAAGAAUUUCUACUGCACAGCGCUGCACUUCGGUUGUGUGUAAUGAAGAGGGUGGGGAUGAGUCAGGGAGAGCUAGGGUGGGGGCAGUCUUUAAAGCUGUCUUCAAGGAACAGAAAGAGGAGUGGGGAAAGGAUUUAAGAUCUAUGGGGUCAGCUAGGUUUCCUUUUUUGAGUUUAUAUAAUGGUUUUGUUAGGAUGGCAAAACUAGGUAUCUAAAGGCAAAAGUAUCCAACCAUGCCCAGGAAGGAAAGGAGUUGUUUUGUAGCUGGGGUUGGGGUUUGAGAGAUUAGUCGGACACGAUUGGCAGGGAGAGCACGUGUGUUCUUAUGAGAAUUAUGCUGAGAUAGGUAACAGAUAAGGGACAAAUUUGGGAUUGACUGAAGUAAUGGGGCUGUCUGUGAAGCUUUGCGUCAGUACAGCCCAGGUAAUUUGCUGAGCCUGAUGGGUGUCAGGGUCAGUCCAAGUGAAAGCGAAGAGAGGCUGGGAUGAAGGGUGCAAAGGAAUAGUAAAGAAAGCAUACUUGAGAUCCAGAACAGAAUAAUGGGUUGUGGAAGGAGGAAUUGAGGAUAGGAGAGUAUAUGCGUUUGGCACCAUGGGGUGGAGAGGCAAAACAAUUUGGUUGAUAAGGCAUAGAUCCUGAACUAACUUGUAAGGCUUGUCUGGUUUUAGGACAGGUAAGGUGGGGGAAUUGUAAGGAGAGUUUAUAGGCUUUAAAAGGCCAUGCUGUAGCAGGCGAGUGAUAACAGGCUUUAAUCCUUUCAAAGCAUGCUGUGGGAUGUGAUAUUGGCAUUGAGAGGGGUAAGGGUGAUUAGGUUUUAAUGAGAUGGUAAGGGGUGCAUGAUCGCUCGCCAAGGAGGGAGUAGAGGUAUCUCCUACUUGUGGGUUAAGGUGGGUGGCAAUGAGAUGUAGCUAUAGUCUAGGAAUAGUCAGGGAAGCAGAUAAUUUAGUUAAAGUGUCUCAGCCUAAUAAGGGAACUGGGCAGGUGGGGACAACUAAAAAGGAGUGCUUAAAAGAGUAUUGUCUAAGUUGGCACCAGAGUUGGGGAGUUUUAAGAGGUUUAGAAGCCUGGCCGUCAAUACCCACAACAGUUAUGGAGGCAAGGGAAACAGGUCCUUGAAAAGAAGGUAAUGUGGAGUGGGUAGCCUCCGUAUUGAUUAAGAAGGGGACGGACUUACCCUCCACUGUGAGAGUUACCUAGAGCUUCUGUGAUGGUCCUGUAGGCUUCCGAAGUGAUCGAUCAGGCAUUGUCAGUCUUCAGCUGCUAAGCCAAGAAGAUCUGGGAAGGAGUCAGUCAGAGGACCUUGGGCCAGAGUUCCAGGGGCUCUGGGAGUGGCUGCCAGUUCUACAGGGCCUGGAGCUGAUACGAAAAACCUCCCUUCUUUCCCAAAUGGUCCCCAGCUUCCCCGUUCACUGAAGGCCCUGCAGUCGGGAACAGUCAGGACUUUGCACCCAGUAGUUUUGGGUGUUUGGCCGACCCUUCCUCUUGUGUGAUUCAUGGACCCGCAGCAUUGCAUCACCUGUGAGCUUUUGGAAUUGAAGACUCUCAGGGCUCACCCGGGAGGACCUGCUGGGCCAGUAUCUGCAUUUUAACAAGAUACCCAGGAAAGAAUGUGCUGGAGAAAAACAGAGAUUCCCCCUGGCCUGGAGCUUCACAAGCUUAGCCCCUUCCAGGAGCCACAGAGGAGUUGGGGCAUCGGGAAAGUCUUGGAGGAUACAAGAUUUGCCUAUUCUGGACCUUUGACAUAAAUGGAAUCAUGUAAUAUAUAUAAUAACCAAAAGGUAGCAACAACCAAGCUGGCCAUUUGGUUGAUGAAUGAAUAAACAAAAUGUGCUGUAUCCAUACAGUGGAAGUAUUGACAUACAUAGAAAUCAGACCACUACUUCUGCAGAACAUUUUACUGGUAAAAAGAACAGCCCACAUGAGGAAAACUGAUUUGGUGGAAAGACAACAAAAACAAAACAUGGGAAAUAGGUAAGGUGAUAACAUGGGGGAGAGGUUUUGCUUGUGUUUCACCAGGAGAAAAUCAGCUUCCUGUUUGGAUACCCACUAGACAUUUGAAGUUCUACAAUGAACCCAUCAGAGAUGCAAAUGAAAGUGCCUCCGCAGAGACAGAAAACCCGCAAUCGAGCAUCAUCGACUCGCAGGGUGAACAAAAUGGUGAUAUCAGAAGAACAGAUGACGUUGCCAACCACCAAGAAAACGGCACAUGUGGAGAGCCAGGGAGAGGAAGAGAAAGAAAAAGAGACAGAGAUCAGA